GAUGAACGCUGGCGGCGUGCCUAAUACAUGCAAGUCGAGCGAACAGACGAGGAGCUUGCUCCUCUGACGUUAGCGGCGGACGGGUGAGUAACACGUGGAUAACCUACCUAUAAGACUGGGAUAACUUCGGGAAACCGGAGCUCAUACCGGAUAAUAUAUUGAACCGCAUGGUUCAAUAGUGAAAGACGGUUUUGCUGUCACUUAUAGAUGGAUCCGCGCCGCAUUAGCUAGUUGGUAAGGUAACGGCUUACCAAGGCAACGAUGCGUAGCCGACCUGAGAGGGUGAUCGGACACACUGGAACUGAGACACGGUCCAGACUCCUACGGGAGGCAGCAGUAGGGAAUAUUCCGCAAUGGGCGAAAGCGUGACGGAGCAACGCCGCGUGAGUGAUGAAGGUCUUCGGAUCGUAAAACUCUGUUAUUAGGGAAGAACAAAUGUGUAAGUAACUAUGCACGUCUUGACGGUACCUAAUCAGAAAGCCACGGCUAACUACGUG
rnacentral:rRNA from 1 species